AUGUACCCACGUACACUCCGGUUCCUCCGCGCCGUCCGCACCCACCUGACGGCUGCUCGCUACGUUUUGUUAGCC
rfam:Xanthomonas campestris pv. campestris str. ATCC 33913, complete genome.